GGAUGCCCUGGAUGAUGGGCACCGGGUCGGCCACGCCCUCCAGGUGCUGCAGAGAGCUGAACACUUUGAGGGCUUCGUCCUGCAGCGUCGUGUAGCUUCUGUUUCUCGGAGCUGAGUGGAGCAGAGGGAGGAGGGCAGCGGCAGCAGUGGCGAGUGCAGCGGAUGGUGGCUGUAGCGAAGGAUGGGGUUCCUCUUGUAGAUCUGUUCCACCACCUCUGAGUUCAGACAGUUCUCCUGCAGAGAGCAGAGGGGUCUGACUUUAAUACGACGCUCUGCUGAUGAUCUGAGGGUUGGGACCGGUUGCUCUAAACACUAUGUUUUCUCCUUAGCUGCUGGUGGGAACUACGACGACAUGGAGCUUCUACACAGGUCUCCUACCUUGAUGUCCUGGAUGAGCUGCUGGGUCGGCGUGUCGAUUGGAGCUUUGGUGUCGAUGACGUUCUGGAUGGAGUUGGCCCAACGUGUGGCCUCAUUCAGCAGCUUACAGUAGAGACGUACUCACCACAGCAUUCUGGGGGUUGGCCUGCUCAUCGUGCAUCUCUCUGAUCUCCUGUUCUGUCGAGCCAUGGACCUGACUCAGCACGCUGAACCACUGGCUGUAACCAUGGAGAUGACAUCAUCAUUA